UGUGAUACUAGUGGGAUUGUUGCUGAGAGCUGACAGUGGAGCCUGGGCUGAUUUUCCUGCUUCUCUAGGCGCAACCUUUUGCCUGUUGAAAAAUGCAAAAGCAUUUGACAUGAGUAUUUCACUGAGCUCGAGUGGAACUUUUAGCAGAUCCGACAAGCAGGCUUGUCAGCUCUGGUUCCUGGCAGCCCGUUCUCCCUUGGAGGCUGUUCCUGUAUUGCCUGUGGUAACUGCUCAGCUGCUGCUUCACGUUCACAGAGCCAAGAUGCUCAAGCCACGUGCCCCGGUCUACACAUAACAGUGGAAACUGAAUGGCCUUGUCUAAGCCCUGGAGAAACUCAGUGAAUUUGGGUCAGGCCUUUCACUGUCCUCUUUCAAUGAGGGUGUUGCAGCUGCUUUGCUGAUUUUGGAAAAUCAGAAAACCAGGAUGUCUGUAACCAAACAUAAGGAAUCCACAGCUCUUUCGGGGAGUUACAGGAAGCUAAGAACAGGUGUGUCUUCAGACCAGAGUUACUGCUUGUACUUGGGAAGAGCACAGACAUCAUUCUGAAGGUCGUGUGCUGUCCACAGAUAUGUGCUGCCCUUUAAAAGGAGUGCAUACUGUCUUAAUGAGACCAGGAUGCCAGAACAUACUAUGAAGACUUUUUCCUCCCCACAGGCAAGUCCUUAAUGCAAAAGUCUGAAGUCAAUAUACA